AGAUCACCCAGUCUCCUGUAUUGAGAAUGGAUUUGACCGAGGAAAAACUUGUUAUUUGUUGAGAGACAUGUGAAUUUGCAGCUUUAGAUGUUCUAUUCAGGCAGCAUUUAAGUUUGGAGGGUCAACAGAUCAGACUUGGAGUCCUGAUAUGUGUCAGAAAUUGGGGAAGAUUACUGCCUGAGACAGCACAGGGCAGCGACAGUGAGAGAUGAAGGCAACAUCAGUGUGCGCCAGAGUUUUGCAACUCCACACGCAGUCCAUCAUGGACCAACAACUGCAGCAUCACCUAGGAGCUGUUAGAAGUACAGACUCUCAGAUCCCACCCCAGAUUCCUGAGUUGGAAUCUGUAAUUUGAUAAGAUUCUCAGGUACAUUAAAGUUCGAAAAGUGGCAUGUUAGUGAACUGAGAUUUCUAUGUCAAGGGAUGUACUUGGUGUUGAAGAGCUGAGUUCAGAGUUCAGAGAGCAGGUGUUCAAAAGCAAGUUCAAGUCAUACAAAAGAGCCAAGAAUAACCCAAGAGCUUCCACAUAUCUCUGUAAACAGGGUUAGAGGUUGUCAGGGUCACAGGCAGGACAGAUACCUUGCACAUUUUUUUCUUAAGAAAUCUCGAUUAUCAAUCUCAAAUUUUCUUUAAAGUGUUUUUUACUAUAACACAAAUAUUGAAACACAAAUAUGUGUACAAAUUAAUGCAUUUUAAUACUGUUUUACUGAGGUAAAAUUUACAUGUAAUAAAAUGCAUAACUUUUGAAGAAUGUGUUGUGUAUAUCAGAUAAUUGCUACUCUGAUUGAAAUAUAAAACAUGUUCAUCACCCCAGAAAUCUCUCUCUUAUCCUCUCAAAUUAAUUUUUAGCCCC
rnacentral:lncRNA from 1 species